AAAGACGCAUCAACUCACCAUUAGAAAACAUGAAACGACAGAUUAUAUCCUAAGAUUGUGUGAACCUCUUACCUGGAAACCCGUACAAUUGCUUUAUCUACCAAUCCUAAACUAUUAUAUCUUGAUCUUUACUCAAUCCUAAUUACACACCCACAUUGAAAGACCUAUCUUAAUUCAGACUUCAAAAUCUUACAAACGUCCAAGUCCCUCCUUUGAAAUGCUACUAAGACUGCAGUAAGAAUACAUAGCAUGCAGUGACUGAGAGGAAGAGAGAUACUAACACUUGAAGUAAUCCAGUCUAUCAAUAGGAGAUGGACUGCUUUGAUUUAAAGCGAUUUACAAAAGGAUUUGGAUACCUCAUCUCUCCUGUUUCGCCAAGGUCUUGACUCAUCGCUGCAGGUUGUAUAAUUAGUCUCAUUAAUCUAGCAAAUGAUGGCAAAAUGCUUGGUAAUGAUGUCUAACUGGGGUUCCUUUCCAAGGAACCUUUGUUGUUUAAUUAGGAGAUAAUGGAUGAGCUUGUAGAGAGACCAGGGUUAUAAAAGGCAGUAGCAUGUCAAUGUGCCCAUGCCUAGUUCAAUACAAUGGUUUUUAAGCCAAGUAUUCAAAUAAAUUGACAUUAUGUAGGUACAUGAAUUUAAAAGGGGUCAUUAUUCACUAACUAUAUUUUAACAUAUGCUUAGAGCAACCCAUUACUGCUGGGGAUAAUAAACGGUGCCCAGAUGAACAACCACAUUGCAUACAAAGGAUGGUGUCUGAGAUCACUACUGGGCCCGACUUAGCCACCAUCUUUCCAAAUAGAAUCAUAGGUUUGGAAAUUUAUCCCUUCUAUGGAUGAAGCACCAAACUAUUAAACUGCAAAACCAUUCUGUAUUUAUUCUUUCCAGCUGCAGUUCCCUUGACAAUAAAUGAAGAGUUUGUCCUCUGAUUAUGUUUGAUUUGUUCUCUUAUUUACCCC
rnacentral:lncRNA from 1 species